rnacentral:rRNA from 1 species
GACGAACGCUGGCGGCGUGCUUAACACAUGCAAGUCGAACGGAAAGGCCCUGCUUUUGUGGGGUGCUCGAGUGGCGAACGGGUGAGUAACACGUGAGUAACCUGCCCUUGACUUUGGGAUAACUUCAGGAAACUGGGGCUAAUACCGGAUAGGAGCUCCUGCUGCAUGGUGGGGGUUGGAAAGUUUCGGCGGUUGGGGAUGGACUCGCGGCUUAUGAGCUUGUUGGUGGGGUAGUGGUUUACCAAGGCUUUGACGGAUAGCCGGCCUGAGAGGGUGACCGGCGACAUGGGGACUGAGAGACGGACCAGAAUCCUACGGGAGGCAGUGGGGGGGAAUAUUGCACAAUGGGGGGAAGCCUGAUGCAGAAACGCCGCGUGCGGGAUGACGGCCUUCGGGUGGUAAACCGAUUUCGCCUGUGACGAAGAGUGAGUGACGGUAAUGGGUAAAGAAGCAACGGCUAACUACGUG